GUUGUAUGGUUAAGUGACUAAGCGUACACGGUGGAUGCCUGGGCAGUCAGAGGCGAUGAAGGACGUGCUAACCUGCGAUAAGCCAAGAGAAGAUGGUAAGAAUCACUAUACUCUUGGAUUUCCGAAUGGGGAAACCCAGCUGCAUAAGCAGUUAUCAGUAAGUGAAUACAUAGCUUGCUGAGGCGAACCGGGGGAACUGAAACAUCUAAGUACCCCGAGGAAGAGAAAUCAACCGAGAUUCCGGCAGUAGCGGCGAGCGAACCCGGAUUAGCCCUUAAGCUAGUUUUGCGACAGGUGAAUGAGCUGGAAAGCUCAGCGAUACAGGGUGAUAGCCCCGUAACCGGUAGCGCAUUGCGAGUGAAAUCGAGUAGGACGGGACACGUGAUAUCCUGUCUGAACAUGGGGGGACCAUCCUCCAAGGCUAAAUACUCCUGACUGACCGAUAGUGAACCAGUACCGUGAGGGAAAGGCGAAAAGAACCCCUGUGAGGGGAGUGAAAUAGAACCUGAAACCGUGUACGUACAAGCAGUAGGAGCCCUUCGGGGUGACUGCGUACCUUUUGUAUAAUGGGUCAGCGACUUAAUUUUAGUAGCAAGGUUAACCGAUUAGGGGAGCCGUAGGGAAACCGAGUCUUAACUGGGCGUACAGUUGCUAGGAUUAGACCCGAAACCAGGUGAUCUAGCCAUGGGCAGGUUGAAGGUGAGGUAACACUUACUGGAGGACCGAACCGACUAAUGUUGAAAAAUUAGCGGAUGACUUGUGGCUAGGGGUGAAAGGCCAAUCAAACCUGGAGAUAGCUGGUUCUCCCCGAAAGCUAUUUAGGUAGCGCCUCGGACGAAUACUACUGGGGGUAGAGCACUGUUAAGGCUAGGGGGUCAUCCCGACUUACCAACCCUUUGCAAACUCCGAAUACCAGUAAGUACUAUCCGGGAGACACACGGCGGGUGCUAACGUCCGUCGUGGAGAGGGAAACAACCCAGACCGCCAGCUAAGGUCCCAAAGUUAUAGCUAAGUGGGAAACGAUGUGGGAAGGCUCAGACAGCCAGGAUGUUGGCUUAGAAGCAGCCAUCAUUUAAAGAAAGCGUAAUAGCUCACUGGUCGAGUCGGCCUGCGCGGAAGAUUUAACGGGGCUAAGCUAUACACCGAAGCUGCGGCAAUGCAAUUUAUUGUAUUGGGUAGGGGAGCGUUCUGUAAGCGGUUGAAGGUGCAUCGUAAGGUGUGCUGGACGUAUCAGAAGUGCGAAUGCUGACAUGAGUAACGAUAAAGGGAGUGAAAAACUCCCUCGCCGGAAGACCAAGGGUUCCUGUCCAACGUUAAUCGGGGCAGGGUGAGUCGACCCCUAAGGCGAGGCCGAAAGGCGUAGUCGAUGGGAAACGGGUUAAUAUUCCCGUACUUCUUACUAUUGCGAUGGGGGGACGGAGAAGGCUAGGUGGGCCUGGCGACGGUUGUCCAGGUUCAAGGGUGUAGGCUG
rnacentral:rRNA from 1 species